rnacentral:lncRNA from 1 species
GGAAAUGAUACCGGGUUACAAAUAUACCUUUGACUUGAAAGAAGGUAAAAGUACAAACAUGACGCAAAAGCAAAUGCCAAGUCAGCGUGAACAGUACAGGGUUACUGUUCAUCUAUUUAUAGGCACGGGACGCAACCCAUGUAAAAUUACACCUAUGCCCUUUACAUCUGCUAAUAACUCUAUAACGAUUCAUCGAGGUCUGAACAGCCUUUUCAUCUUUAAGUCGGUUUCCCUUUCCGCUAUCAUGCCGAAGCUCUUCUACACACAGCUUCGGCUCCGCGCCAUCCUUCGUACCCCUUCUGUGCUUCUUCACGUUGUGGUUUUAACUCAUGUCCGAAGAUACCUGUUCACACAUUGUACUCCAGAAACAUUGUUAAAUCAUGUUUUUGAGGACCUUCGGAAGCCGAAGGCCCCCAAUAGUAGCCCCUCGCAAUAUUAAUUUGUUAGAAUGAUAAAUUCAGAUUGCGAUAUGGACGAAGGCCCCGAGCCGAAGGUCCGAAAAAACACCUUCCCUUUGCUAGAAUAGCAACAGCCACUGACAAGCGGGACCCUUCAGUUUUCGACGUACUCGGCAUAUAAAUAAGAGCAUAACGCGGAUUCAUUUGACACACUCCCUUGCCAUCUGCUUUUGCUUGCCCAAUUUUUAGCCCUUGCGCACCAACACUUUCUUGGCUUUGAGUUUUUAAGCUUCAUAUUCGAGAGCAGUUUUUCAGCACCUCUGAAGAUGUCUCAAGAUAAAAAAGCUGUUGCUGAAGUGAAACUGAGCCUUUCUGAAGAGAAGAAUCUUGGUUUUCUUGAAUUAAUGGCAAAGACAAAUACAGAGAAGAUUACCAGGGAGAUUUUGGAAGGCUUGUCUGAAGAUACUGGUGAUAGCGACAGUUUUGAUGUGGAAAGUGGUGGAGAAGACUCCGAAGAUCGACCCUAGCGACUAAGUCAUACAAUUUUUGGAAAAUCAACUAUUAAACAGAGUCAUCUUGAUAAUAUGAGGGGAAGAUAUUUUCGGUACAUGUCUAUUGUAAGGGCUGAUGACGGAGAGAGGACUGUGCCUACUCCCGAAGAGAAUGAAGUUGUGAUCUUCCGAAGCUUUUUUAAGGCUGGGCUUCGGUUUCCAUUAAGCAAAUUUGUGGUUGAGGUUUUAAAGAUUUAUCAAGUCUACCUACAUCAAAUUACGCCCGAAGCAAUCAUAAGAAUGGGAAUCUUUGUCUGGGCCAUGAGGAGCUAGGGCUUGGAGCCAAACACAAAAAGCUUUUGUAAUUUACAUGAGCUAGUAUAUGAGACGAAACCCUGGGGUAAAGAGCAAUAUCAUAACAAUUUUGGCUGUUAUAGCUUCGGUGCCCGCUCUGGGUCAAGUUGUCUCGUGCCAACUUUUCGGAAGAGAUGGCCCGGGGACUGGAUGAAGGAAUGGUUCCAUGUAAAAAACGAUUUGAAGGAACGAGAAGAUAUUAAAGAUAUCAUCAUGCGCCCUAUUUGGCAGCGUUUCGGACUCCGGAAACCGAAGGUGGAAAUGGAUGAAGCAGCCGAAGAAUGCCAGAGGGCCUUCGGCGUAGUCUGCUCUUUCAUCGGGACAAGAGAUUUAGUUCAAGAGCACGUGGCCUACAGGAUAUGGCCAUUGGUAGCUAACUGGGAAAUGCCGAAGGAAACCAUCAGCAACCCACACGAAGGUGGUCUGGUUCGACUAAAUUAUACCUUCAGGUUCGUAGAUCAAUUUAUCGAGCCAGACGAUGAUUGGUUGAAAUGCGUUGAAGCUACAAGUGAUGAAGUGCUCGGACCGUACUCAAAGGCAGAAGAUACUGCGCUAUCAGCGGCCUUUGGAGGCCAGAAAAAGAAGAGGCUGAACAGAGUUUUUGAUGCUAUCGGAUUUGUCUAUCCUGACUACCGUUACCCAAUACGGGGUCAAAAAAGAAAAGGUACAACUUCUGUGAAGGAAGUUGCUUCGGCCGCUCCUAGUGAGCCAACGCCGAAGAGAAAAAAGAUGAAGGUUCUUACGCACCGGCCACGCUAUAUUGAGCCGGCCACGGUGCCCGAGUUUGUCGGCGAGGCUUCUUCGGCUACUGAAGCCAAAAAACCUAUUCCUGCACAGAAAGCUGAAGAGCUGUCUGCAACACCAAAGGCUGAAAAAACUAAAGAGUCGAAAGCUGAAGGGACAAAAAUAUCAGAAAUUUUAAGCCCUUCGGCAGAAGUUGGAGUGCCACAAGCUCAGAAGGGUCCGGCUGUGACCCCCAAAAGGAAAAGGAUGGUUAAUGUUUUGGAUGUACUGGAGACAAUAAAGUCUUCAAGCUCUACGCCGAAAAAAGUUGCCGAUGCUCACAAAGCACAAAUUGAAACAACAGCCUCUGGAGGCGAAACUACAAAGCACCAGGCUGAAACCAAAACUGGACCUUCAGAGUUUGCCAAAGAAAAAUCCUUGGAAACCAAAGGAGAAAGUAGAAAGGAAACUUUAAAGCAAAUUCUGUCUGAAAAAACUCUUUCUUCAACCCCCGAAGCACCUUCCAAAUUGCCUGAUUAUAUUGUGCGACAUGCUUCGGGCAAAAUACUAUCUGAAGAAGAAAAACGAGAAGCUCAUCAUUAUGCCUAGAAAUUAAAAUAUCCGAAAGGGGCGUUGAUAUUCAAUGGCAGCGGAGAAGAAGACUUCUUGUAUUGUCUCCCAGACAGCAAGGAGAUCUCUGUCUGCCGGGAGAUGGCAAGAAGCUUCGGAUUCCCAACUCUAGAAGAUGGGCUUUCAGUUUUGUCAAAAGAUGAAUUGGCCGACAGCUUAGCAUACAACAGCUUAAAGGUGAGAAAAUACACUUUUUGCGUGGUUAAAAAUUCGUGUGUUUAUUUCUUAAUAUUACAUUCCUUUUGCAGGGCCUUAUUCUCAGCAAUGCCCUCAGAGCGCAAAAAAAGUGCCGAAGAUGAAGGGUGCACCAUAGCUUUAAACAACCUUCGUUCCGAAGUAAUUGAGCUAAGAAACGAAGGUCUUGAGAAAGAUAAAAUAUUAAAUUCAUUGGUAAAUAAAAUAAAAGAAGAUGAAGCUGCUUCCAAAGCCCAAGCUGAGGCCCAGAAGCGCGAAAUUGAGGAUCUUCGGAAACAGCUAGCCGAAGCUAAAGAAAAAUGCGCAGUUGCAGAAGCUAAACGAGAAAUUAGUGAACAAUGGACAAAUCAUUUAGAGAAAAACGUUGAAGAACUUCGUGCAUCCAAAGAAAGGUGUUAUGAAAAGUCUAUAGAGUGUGUUAAGAAAAUAAAAACUAGCUUCGCCAAUGUUGGCGCACUCUCUAACGAAGACAACUUCGCAAGAGGUGAUCCUGAAGGUCCAAUUGAUUGGAUCAGCAAUGAAGCUGAAGCUUUUGAGGAAGUUUUGAGUGGUCGCGGGGAUGUCUGCGCUUUCUCAGGUGCCCAAGGAAUUGUGGCUAUUUUGGAGUAAUCAGGCUGCGACCAUGUGAAAACUUUGGCCCAAGCCGAAGCUACUUUAAGUAUUGAAGAUACAAAAGACCCUUUGGCCGAAGCCAGCUUAGUGGGCGGAAAAUUCUUUACUGACAUCUGGGAGAAUGGUGGCCGAAAGAUGGCGCACGAGAUAAUAAAAAAGAGUGAAAAAGAUUCUCAUGGUACAAAAGAAGCGAUGAAGGCAGUUGAAAAAACUGCGGAACUAGAAAGAAGAUAGGUAUUGCUUAAUAACUUCUAACUUUAUGUUUUAUUUUUUACGACUCCAAACUUAUUUACGUUUUCUAUCACAGCUGAGCUAUCUCCUUCCCUAGAGCCCUUCGAGCCAACGGCCGACCCAGAAGCAAAGAGAGAGGAAGAAAUCACUAAAAUGGCCGAAGCUAUUUUAGAUGAAGCUGUUUCUCGACUGUUGAACGAAGCUGCGGAAGCAGUUUUGAAAGAAGAAUAGUUGUUAAUGUAAAAACAUUUGGAAUGUAAUAUUUGCUGAACAAAGUAUGUAAUAUUUUUAUAAUUUUGAAUGUAAUAUAUAAGUUGCUUGUAACUUAAUUCUUUACGAUGCAUGAAACUUUACAUACAUACCGUUUUUGAGCCUUCGGCGAAAAAAACACCUUCCCUUCUUUUCAUGCUUCGUGAAGAAUAUCCAUAUUUCAUAAAAACAUCCAAUCUUCGUAAAAUCAGUAAGCAAUAGAUCUUUUCAUGAUGAAGGUAUGCUUCUUCAAUAAUUAUUUUGUGCCUUGGCACUGCUUCUUUGAAACAAUCUUCGAAGAUCAACAUUGAACCCCCUUCUUGCGUCAUUGAUGCAAUAUGAUGUAUGAUGUUAUGCUAUGCAAAUGAUGUGAUGAUGUGAUGUUAUGCAAAAUGAUAUUUGUGUCGAAGAUCAGCGCUGACUUUUCGCUGCAAGCCUCCCUUAGGAGCUUCUUCGCCUUCUAUUUCGGCGGUAUCAGCGUUUAUUUUUCGUUGUAAGCAUCCCUUAGGAGCUUCUUCGCCUUCUAUUUCGGCGGUAUCAGCGUUUAUUUUUCGUUGUAAGCCUCCCUUAGGAGCUUCUUCGCCUUCUAUUUCGACGGUAUCAGCGUUUAUUUUUCGCUGUAAGCUCUGCAUUCCCUUUGGAACGACUUUUGAGCAGAAAACUUACGCUGCGCUCCCUUAGGAACGACUUUUUGUGGCUUCGGGAAACUUACGCUGCGUUCCUUAGAACGACUUUUUGUUAUUUCGGAGAUUCUCCUUGUAACCAUAAGUUCUUAUGCUUCGGCAACUUUUUUUUUGAACUCCGUUAUUCUGUGGAGAAGGUAUAUUUUUACUAUGGCAAAAACGAAGCUAUUACAAGAAAUUGAAAACGACAAAAAACACUUAGGCUUUCAAUAAUUGUUCCUUAUUAAAAAGAAAAUGAUACUGAAUGCAAAAAUUGUUGCCGAGGUAGGAUAUCUGUUAGUAAAUAUGCUUCGAUUCUGGCAUAGUACUAUUGACUGUGCGAGCUUCGGACUCCUCUCUGAAGUCUCGUUGGUGGUGAGUGUGCUGACUCCCUUCUGGCUGCUGACCUCGUUGCAUUGGUGGUGGAGGUGGAGGCUAUUGCCAAGAUGCCUGAGGUUGGCUUGCCGAAGCAACAGAAGCUGCAGGGUGGUUACCCACAUACUCUGGAAUAUACGGUGAGUGGUACGAAGCAGUAUGCAUAACUUGCUUCGGCUGGCUCUGUUGGGCUGCAGCUUCUGCUAUCUCUUUCUGUUUCUGGAUAGUGACAUGGCACAUCCUGGUAGUGUGGCCCUUGUCCUCACCACAGAAUAGGCAAUAAAUUUUUCUGGGUUGAUUCCCAAACCUUCCUCCGAAGCCCCUGGCGCCUCUGCCCCUUGGAGCUGGGGGCCGAGGAUAGCUCUGUUGCUGCCCCGAAGCCUGGGAGGAAUAUUGCGGCCUCUGCUGUUGACUUCCCCUGUCGUCAUUCUGAGUGGAAUGAAUUGAUCUGACAUGCCUAGGAUGGAUUCUCCCUCCGAAGCCCCUGGCCAUUUCGGAGAACCUGUAAGCUUCCUCCCUUCUCUGUCGAAAGUCAUUGUCAGCGCGGAUGUAUUCAUCCAUCUUCUGAAGCAGUUUCUCCAGGGUCUGAGGGGGUUUCCUGGCGAUGUAUUAGGCUGAAGGUCCUGGCCGAAGCCCCUUAAUCAUGGCCUCAAUGACAAUUUCAUUGGGCACUGUUGGCGCUUGUGCCCUCAGGCGCAAGAACCUUCAGACAUACGCUUGGAGGUAUUCUUCUUGAUCUUGCGUGCACUGGAACAAAGCUUGAGCGGUAACUGGCUUCGUCUGAAACCCUUGAAAACUAGUGACCAGCAUGUCCUUCAGCUUUUGCCAUGAUGUGAUUGUUCCUGGCCGAAGAGAGGAAUACCAGGUUUGUGCAACAUUUUUGACUGCCAUGACGAAAGAUUUCACCAUGACCACUGUGUUGCCUCCAUAGGAAGAUAUUGUUGCUUCGUAACUCAUCAGAAACUGCUUCGGAUCUGAGUGUCCGUCAUACAUGGGGAGCUGGGGUGGCUUGUAAGACGGAGGCCAAGGUGUAGCCUGCAAUUCUGCUGACAGAGGAGAAGCAUCAUCAAAAGCAAAAUUUCCAUGAUGAAAAUCCUCAUACCAGUCAUCCUCGUUGAAGAAGCCCUCUUCAUGAAGCUCUCUGUGCUGAGGCCUUCGGUUUUGCUCAUCUUGAGCAAGAUGACAAACUUCUUCAGAGGCUUCGUCUAUCUGCCUUUGUAGAUCAGCUAGCCGAGCCAUCUUUUUCUUCUUCCUUUGUACUUGCUGAUGGAGCAUCUCCAUAUUCCUGAUCUCUUGGUCCAAGUCGUCCUCCUGGGGCGUUGGACUGGUGGCCUUCCUCUUCUGGCUUCGGGCCUCUCGAAGAGAAAGGGUCUCCUGGUUCGGGUCCAGCGGCUGCAGAGCUGCAGCCCCUGUCGCUGAAGCUUUCUUUGGCGGCAUGACGAAGGUCGAUGCUUGCCGAAGGUGUUCGAAACUCAAAAAGUGGAAGUGAGUUCACCGGAGGUGGGAGCCAAUGUUGGGGACUUGUUCUCAAAUGCUAAGAGUUAAGAACAAGGCAACACAGAAAAUGUUAAACGUUAAAGCCCUUCGUCCUUCGAAGCAUUAUUUCACUUGGGAUAUAAUGAUUUUCGGACAAAGGUUAUGAAGGACAUACCUUCAUAAAUAUUACAUAUCAUAAUGAAGAAGGAAUUACAUGGAAUAUAAAAGAUAACAUAAACAGUUAUGUAUUAUUAUCAACUCAUUUCUAUUUUAUUGCUAUGGAAAAAUGGAAAUGAUAUCGGGUUACAAAUAUACCUUUGACUUGAAAGAAGGUAAAAGUACAAACGUGACGCAAAAGCAAAUGCCAAGUCAGCGUGAAUAGUACAGGGUUACUAUUCAUCUAUUUAUAGGCACGGGACGCAACCCAUGUAAAAUUACACCUAUGCCCUUUACAUCUGCUAAUAACUCUAUAACGAUUCAUCGAGGUCUGAACAGCCUUUUCAUCUUUAAGUCGGUUUCCCUUUCCGCUAUCAUGCCGA